GACGAACGCUGGCGGCGUGCCUAAUACAUGCAAGUCGAACGCAGGGGGGACGGGUGAGUAACACGUGGGUAACCUCCCAUCAGAGGGGAUAACACUUGGAAAAAGGUGCUAAACCGAUACUGAUGGAUGGACGCGCGGUGCAUUAGCUAGUUGGUGAGGUAACGGCUCACCAAGGCCACGAUGCAUAGCCUGCCGGAAAGGGUGAUCGGCCACACUGGGACUGAGACACGGCCCAGACUCCUACGGGAGGCAGCAGUAGGGAAUCUUGGGCAAUGGACGCAAGUCUGACGGAGCAAUGCCGCGUGAGUGAAGAAGGUUUUCGGAUUGUAAAGCUCUGUGGGUAGGGAAGCGGUAUCUAACCAGAAAGCCCCGGCUAACUACGUGCCAGCAGCCGCGGUAAUUC
rnacentral:rRNA from 1 species